GGAGGCGUGGGUGGGGAAUGUGAGGAACUGUGGCCACUUUUUCCAGUUUUACUGUGAAAGGGAACAGGAUGCUCCUAAGGAUGGGUGGUGCAUACUGGAAAAGAUAAAGUUAAGAAGAAUUUCUUCUGUAGCCAUGGCAGGCUGUCACCUGCUUAUUUGCUGCUGUAGUUGUAAGUGAAAGAGGGAGUAAUUCUGCAGAAGGAUGGAGGCUCUCUGCGGAAGAGGAAUUUAGGAUCUUGGACGCUGAAAGAAGAACUGCGUCAACCUCAUCGUCUUCUUCAGGUUGCUUUUCUGGAACAGAACAGAUGAGGCUUCUGGUCCUGCUGGGAGCAGCACUGGGGAGCCGCAAGAGGCCAGCCUGCAGCCCCUGCUCACCGUAGCUUACGCUGAUCAUUUAUGACAACACCUGUUGGAUAAAAGGUGCCUGGAGAAAGGGGAGAGGUUUGCGGACAGAUACCUGGGAAGCACCCUCACCGUUUCCUGGCUUUACUCUGGUUUCAAUCCGUCCGUCCUCAGCAUUUAGGAAUUUGAAUUGCACAAGAUCAGCGUUGCCAAAGGGCUUUGGGCUGGUUAGGACUCCUGUACUCCAGUAGGAAACUUGCAAUUGCAGCACAUUAAAAUCCUCUCACUAAA